ACACCCUCGGAUUGACGUGCACACGCGCACCGGUUACCUUCAGGAGCGCCGAAGAAAGAAAGAAGAACACAGAGCCCGAGGCAAAGCUUAAGUGCUUACGCUUUUUUCCGGAGGUACAGACCCAGCUCUGCGAGAGCCAGGGGAAAAGGAAGAGAGGCAGGGAAGGAAUGGCAGCAAGUACAAGGUGAUGAAUGACUGCACUGGCCAUUGCUUCAUGAAGAGCCACGAAAAAACAGAGCUGGUUUCUCAGCAGGUGGCUGGCUGCUCAGUCACAAAGGACUUCUUUGGACAGGCUUUAUGGAAAUACUGUGCCUAGGACAGUCGCUCAAAGGCGGGAGGGAGAGAAAAUGCAUCUGCAAGCUCACUUUGUCUUCUUUCUUCUGCUGGUCAAAAUUUGCUAGCUGGGGCAGUUAACGCCCUCACACAUCCGAGUUGUGUCACCUGGCCCCUUUGGUAGCCACUGGGGAAGCCAGAUCUAGGCAUGUGGCCUGAUGGCUCCUGCGGUGGAACCACAUGCUCACACUCAGUCAGUCACCACUGGGAUGGCCUGGGCAGGGCAGGCUGAGUGGCUGGGAGAUAGCUGAGCCUAAGAUAUCUAAGCAAGCACCUGUGAUGUAUGCACUGCAGUGUCCAAAUGUGAAAAAGCAAGGAAGGGAGAUAGAAGCAUAUUUUUUUCUGGAGAGAAGGAGGAAACCACCAGGAGAAUACAAACAGAAAAAAGACAUGCUCAUCAUGCCCUGCAAACUCCUAUGAACUGGAACUACAGCAGCUGUUCUGCCAGGGACAGGUUUUUCUCUAAAGUUCCAGCUCUCUGGAGGGAGAAAGCCCUGACUCUGGAUGGAGUUGAGCUCUGUCGCCCAGGCUGGAGUGCAGUGGCACCAUCUCAGCUGACUGUGACCUCCACCUCCUGGGUUCAAGUGAUUGUCCUGCAUCAGCCUCCCGAGUAGCUGGGACUACAGGUGCACACCACCAUGCCCGGCUAAUUUUUGUAUUUUUGGUAGAGACGGGGUUUUGCCAUGAUGGCCAGGUUUGGUCUCAAACUCCUAACCUCAAGUGAUCCACCCUCCUCAGCCUCCCAAAGUGCUGGGAUUACAGGCGUGAGCCACUGCGCCCAGCCUACUUGAAUUUUUUUUUCUUUCUUUUUUUUUUUUUUUGAGACAGAGUUUUGCUCCUGUUGCCCAGGCUGGAGUGCAACGGCGUGAUCUCAACUCACUGCAACCUCUGCCUGCUGGGUUCAAGUGAUUCUCCUGCCUCAGCCUCCCAAGUAGCUGGGAUUACAGGUGCCCACCACCGUGCCUGGCUGAUUGUAUUUUUAGUAGAGAUGGGGUUUCAUCAUGUUUGCCAGGCUGGUCUUGAACUCCAGACCUCAGGUGAUCGGACUGCCUCGGCCUCCCAAAGUGCUGGGAUUACAGGCAUGACCCACUGUGCCCGGACCUGCUUGAAUUUUUAUGAUGAGCAUGUUGGCAGAUCACGACUGCCAGCUCCAUGACAGCAAGAACCUUGUAUGACUUUUUCAUGAUGGAUGUUCAUCUGUGCCAUCUGUAAAUAUUUAAUAAAUAUUUGUGGAAUACAUGAAUCCAAAAGUGAAUGGAAUGAUAAAGAGGGAAAGGAUCAUGACAUCUACUACAGCAUUUGGCACAGACCCAGUUGUCUGCAGUACUAUCAAGAGAUGACAUGGACUUCAAGGAUCAAACAGGGGAGAAAAAGGCUUAAAAGAAAAACAAGUCUCCAUCAAAGGUAAUAACCACAAUGAGAACUGUACAUAGCUAUGUGCUUAUAGGUCUUAGUUCACAUUCCCCUCAUUAAAAUUAUAGCUCAAGAAAUAAAGGGCUGUUUAAUGACUUGGGUAUAUAAAUAUACUUCAUUUGUAUAUUUUUUACUUGCUAAAAUCUAUCCAAAUUGGUAUUACCUCAAACCAUAAUCUUCUACUGUAUUUUAUAAUUUUACUUUCAAUUGCCAUGUAUUUUUCCCACUGAUGUUCACAAAUUCACAGGAAACAUCAGCCAUGUACUAAAUAAAAUAUGAAUUGAAUCGACAAAUAGAACCAUAAAUUUAAUUCAUGCACAUGUAAAAUUUAGACCAAAGAAUAAAAAUGUCUAUUAAAAAUACAGCCAAGCAUGGUGGCUCACACCUGUAAUCCCAGCACUUUGGGAGGCC
rnacentral:lncRNA from 1 species